UUGGAAGUUAUAAAUGUAACAAGGUCUCCGUAGGUGAACCUGCGGAGGGAUCAUUAC
rnacentral:rRNA from 1 species